rnacentral:rRNA from 1 species
UACAGAGGUCUCAAGCGUUGUUCGGAUUCAUUGGGCGUAAAGGGUGCGUAGGCGGCGCGGUAAGUCGGGUGUGAAAUCUCGGGGCUUAACUCCGAAACUGCAUUCGAUACUGCCGUGCUUGAGGACUGGAGAGGAGACUGGAAUUUACGGUGUAGCGGUGAAAUGCGUAGAUAUCUGCAGGAACACCCGUGGCGAAAGCGGCGCGCUGGACCACUACUGACGCUGAAGAACGAAAGCUAGGGGAGCAAACAGG